CCAUAGUAGUCUUUACCAGUGCGACAUGACAAUGAACUUCAAUACUGCUAUCUUUUUAGGACCAUAUAGGAUCGUUCAACAAAAGAAUUAUUGAAGCAUAAAAUGAUGUGAUGUGAUGUACGUUAGUGUAGACUAUUCCAAUUACGCAGUUGAAAUACUACGAUCUGCCAGAGAGUACAACGGAAGGAUCUAUUAUUGAAGAAUAAGAUGAUGCGGUGUGAUCUAUGUUAGUAUGAUUAGAAAUAAAUUUUCACAUAUUUAUAUUA